UACACAAAAUCCUAUUUAAAAAAAUAAAAAAAUUGUAUACUCUCAUAUCAUCGUAGGGGAAAAACGGUGGGGCGACCUGUAUAAUCGGAAAAUAUUUUCUAUAUAAUAUACAAGCUCGUAUCGCAUUUAUGCUUCGGUCAUAUAGUAGAAGAGUGUCAAGAAGUGCAGAAAAGUGAUAAUAGUAAUAGUAAUAACAACACG